rfam:Carnobacterium iners strain LMG26642 genome assembly, contig: Ga0073236_12
GGUUCUAUAGCUCAGCUGGAUAGAGCAAACGUUUCCUAAACGUUAGGUCGGGAGUUCGAACCUCUCUAGGACCA